rnacentral:lncRNA from 1 species
AUUAUGUUGCAGUCUUUUCCAGUUGAUAAAAUUGCAAUGCAAAAACUUUUAGGUAGAUUUGUACUGUAUGGAUGGCACAGGAAGAGAACAAGAACAUGAAACAUCUUAUUAUGAAUGUAUAUGUAUGUGAUCCUCAAAAAAUGAUUUUACAAAACAAGAUAGAGAAAGAGCUUUAAAAUCCCAAGGAUCCUGCAAAAUGUUUAUUUGGUGUACUAGUCGAAUAAUAGUAUCUAAAAAUAUUGAAACUAUUUUAAAACACAUUACGGGCAUGAGGAUGAUAUAGAGCACUUACAUAAAUACCAAAAUCAGAUAAAUACCUCUUCAAAGUUUAUUUUGAGACUUUCUUCAAAAAUUAAACUUCAGACUGUUCAGGAUAGCAUAAUAGCAUAGGAGGCGAAUUAAAAAGAAUUAAUUUACUUACAAGAAAAGAUAUCACAAACAUUAAACUUUCUUAUGGCAUUGAUUUGAAAGAUGGGUAUAUGUACAAUGACGAUGCAACCAGUGUUUAUUUUUGGGUUGAAUGCUUACAGACUCAUGUCCAAUAUUAUUUUACAAACAACAGGGCAUACUAAUGGAUAUUCAUUCUGAAUUUCACAUUUAUGAUUUUUGUCUUAUUUUCCUUAAUACUGUGCCAAAAGGAAAUGUUAAUUAAGUUUGGUAAAUCCUUUAUUGCAAUCGAUGGAACUCAUGUGCUCAAUUCCUAUGACUUUGAACUUAUGACAGUAUUAGUAAAAGAUGAAUUUGGGAAUGGAUUUUGUACUGCUUUUUUAUUUUCAAAUAGAAAAGAUACCUACUUUAAUUUACCAAUUUUUUUAAAUACAUGUCUGUGUUGGUAUUAUAUGUAUAGUCAAAUGUUUUCAUAUCAGGCAUAAGCGACACCUUUUACAAUGCCUCGUCAAAUGUAAUGGGUAUUCCUCCUAAUAGACUGUUAAGUGCCUAGCACAUAGAUAGGUCAUGGUAAGUAAAUCUUAAUAAAAUAUCUGAUUCUGAAAAAAUCCUAUUAUGUAUACAAGAUGUAUUAAUGAUGGUUUAGAGAGUAUUAAUAGCUUUUUGGGUAGACUUCUAAGUGAUGCAGAUACAUACAAUUUUAGUAAGUAUUUCCAGUAGAACUACUGCAAUAACAUCCAACAAUGGGUCUAUUGUUAUAGGAAGGGGUUGUGGAAUUAAUACCAAUAUGACCUUUCAAAAUUUUCAUAAAAUUUUGGAUAAAAGGGUAUCCAUUAGUUGUUAUCAGUUAAGUUUAAAACUUGGCACUCAUGGAGAGCUAUACCAUAAUAUAUAAUAGGUAUAUCUCAUAUUACAUCUCAUAUUGUUCACUACAGUAGUAAUCAGUGAGCCUGCAUACACAGAACCAUAAUAAUAUAUUAUAGUUCGUGUAUGCAGGCUCACUCAUUACAAUAGUGAGCAAUAUGAGAUAUAACAUAUUAUAGUAUAAGUCUCUGUGCAUGACCAGAUUAACAUGUUUGGUGCCCAUCUCGAACAAGCUCCACUUGGCUGGUACCACAUACUUAAAUCAUUUAUUUAGUUACACAGUACUACUCACAUAACUUAUGUGUCAUCAGUACCUUCCGUAAAACCUUCGUGAUGCUACCCAUACGUCAUGGCCACUGAAUGUGUUAAAGCUUGUUAAUGUAGGAGAGUUAUACUAAACUAUAUAUCUUAUAUUAUAUUGCCUUAAAUAGAAAAAAUAUCUUAUUUAAAUUGUAUCCAUGUAAGUUUUGAUUUAAUGAAAUAAACCUUUUAAUCAAAAAAGUGUUGUUUACUUGUGUACACCCAGCAAUAUCCUGAUCAUAGAUAAAUAAUAUAGUAUUACCGGAUCCUGAUAUGCAGACGCCAAUAGGGCUUUUCAUCGAUUGUCAUUUGUUUCGAGCUUCUGUCAUGAGUCACAUAAUAUUAGUGUAUCUGCGUCAUACGUCUUUGGUUUGUAUCAUUGGUAUAUACCAAUAACGUACGACGUAGAUAUAUUAAUAUUAUGUGACACAUGACAGAAGCUCGAAACAAAUGACUG